rnacentral:rRNA from 1 species
UUCUGGUUGAUCCUGCCGGAGGUCACUGCUAUUGGGAUUCGACUAAGCCAUGCGAGUCGAGAGGGUUCGGCCCUCGGCUGACGGCUCAGUAACACGUGGAUAAUCUGUCCUAAGGUGGAGGAUAACCUCGGGAAACUGAGAAUAAUACUCCAUAAGUCUAGGAUGCUGGAAUGCACUUAGGCUAAAAACUUCGGUGCCUUAGGAUGAGUCUGCGGACUAUCAGGUUGUAGUCAGGGUAAAGACCUGACUAGCCUACAACGGAUACGGGUUGUGAGAGCAAUAACCCGGGGAUGAUAUCUGAGACACGAUAUCAGGCCCUACGGGGCGCAGCAGGCGCGAAAACUUCGCACUGCGCGAAAGCGCGACGAGGGAAUCCCAAGUGUAUGCACGUAAGUGUAUACUGUUUCUCUGUCUAAAAAGCAGAGAGAGUAAGAGCUGGGUAAGACGGGUGCCAGCCGCCGCGGUAA